rnacentral:rRNA from 1 species
UACGUAGGGAGCAAGCGUUGUCCGGAAUCAUUGGGCGUAAAGCGUGCGCAGGCGGUGAUGUAAGACAGUUGUGAAAUCCCCGGGCUCAACCUGGGAACUGCAUCUGUGACUGCAUCGCUGGAGUGCGGCAGAGGGGGGAUGGAAUUCCGCGUGUAGCAGUGAAAUGCGUAGAUAUGCGGAGGAACACCGAUGGCGCAGGCAGCGUCCUGGCCGCUUGCUGACACUGAGGCACGAAAGCUGGGGGGAGCAAACAGG